GGGGGGGGGUGGGGGGGGGGCGGGCGCGGGGCGGGGGAACGGGGGGGUGGGGGGGAGUGGCGCGCGGGUGCGGAGGGGGGGGGGAACUGCCCGGAGGUGCGGGAUCAGGUCCGGACAGGGGUGCUAAGACGGGAUCGUGGCUGCGGAGCACAGAUUGAUCGCCUUUGGAUUGGCCCGCGUUUGCUUAGCUAGUUGGUAGUGUAAAAGCCUCCCAAGGCGACGCGCCUUAGCUGGUCUGAGAGCAGCAUCAGCCACACUGGGAAUGAGACACGGCCCAGACUCCUACGGGAGGCAGCAGUGGGGAAUAUUGGACAAUGGGCGAAAGCCUGAUACAGCAAUGCCGCGUGAGUGAUGAAGGCCUUAGGGUUGUAAAGCUCUUUUACCCGGGAUGAUAAUGACAGUACCGGGAGAAUAAGCUCCGGCUAACUCCGUG
rnacentral:rRNA from 1 species